GUGAUUUACCAUUGCAGAUAGCUUUAUAAUAUAAUUUUUUAAUCAAAUAAAUCAGAGAAUAGCAAGCAAAGCACUAAGCCUCCAUUUCUACAUCUUCCCAUUCAACUAGCUCAGAUUCAACGGAGGUAUUCUGCGUUGUAUACACUCUGAACGGAAGAACAGGUAAAUUCGGAGGAUAAAUUUCCUUCACAAUUUUAAUGUGGUCGUCAGUUUUAAGAUAUUGUGAGAUAAUUCCCGUCAUCGGAACUGUAAAUCCUUCUUUAAGUAUUUGAAGCCUCCAAUCCGCACAUCCUCCAUUAAACAUCCAUAUGGCAUGGCAUAAAUCUGCCACACAAUUAACAGAGUCAACUAAUUCAAGACUAGAAGUCUCAACCCAUUGUUGAAUUGGAAAUUCGGUGCAGGAGACUUUGAGCCGCAUACUAGUUCAUAGAGGGUUAAAGUAGGAAUUAAAAGUACAGAAAAAGCAACAGUUUCCUUGCCCAUGUAAAUUAAUGUUGGUGAAUUGAUGAAAUGUCCUGAAUGCUAAGUUAGUUUGUAAAACUAAGUCCUUUUACAGAUUCGAUUAAUUUCAUAUAUUUGAUCAGGCCAGCAUAAUUGAUGAAAACCUAUUACAUUGUAUUCUACAGUUAUAAGCAACAAAAAGAUCUAUGCUUUUGUACAAAUUGUUAAAAAAGUAUUUCUACCAAUUAGGUGAUUUGUAAAUAAUCAAAUACAUAAAUUAUAUAUGAUCAGCAAGUCAAACCACU